rnacentral:rRNA from 1 species
GACAGAGGGUGCAAACGUUAUCCGGAAUUACUGGGCGUAAAGCGCACGCAGGCGGUUCGCCAAGUUUGGAGUGACAGUUGUCGGCUCAACCGACAAAGGACUUCAAAAACUGGUGAACUUGAGGACGAGAGAGGAACAUGGAACUCCAGGUGUAGUAGUGAAAUGCGUAGAUAUCUGGAAGAACACCAAUGGCGAAGGCAAUGUUCUGGCUCGUUUCUGACGCUCAGGUGCGAAAGCCAGGGGAGCGAACGGG